rnacentral:rRNA from 1 species
UACGUAGGUGGCAAGCGUUGUCCGGAAUUAUUGGGCGUAAAGGGUGCGUAGGCGGUCCAUUAAGUCUGAUUUGAAAGCCCAUGGCUUAACCAUGGAGGGAGAUUGGAAACUGAAGGACUUGAGAACAGGAGAGGAAGGUGGAAUUCCACGUGUAGCGGUGAAAUGCGUAGAGAUGUGGAGGAACACCAGUGGCGAAGGCGGCCUUCUGGCCUGUGACUGACGCUGAGGCACGAAAGCGUGGGUAGCAAACAGG